AUCUGGAUGCGGGUCCAAGGGUGCAAACAAUCUUCGUCUUGGGCUUCUUCUCCAUUAUAACAGCCUCUGCUUCGCCGUUGUUCAUUUCUGAUAUCACUAAAAAAUGGCUCUAUAUAUAUAUAUAUUGGCAAAAGGGUACAAAAAAGGAGGAAAACAAUAAGACCCGGAUUGUUAUCGCGGAAGAUGGAGAAAGCUGUGUACGUGAGAGAUAUAAGAAGGGAGUUAGAGACUUAGAAAGCGAAAGAAAAGAGAUGGGUUAUGUGAUUGGCAAGGGAAAGGUUUGAUUUUUAAGAAGACAACUAGUAUUCCUUGAGGAAGAAGACGUAAAAUAAAGGCAAGGAUUCGAGAGCUCUUGCGGCAGCAUUUGGUUUGGGCCUCGGUUUUUUUAUGAAACGACAGGC
rnacentral:misc_RNA from 1 species